UGGAUUUUCCUUUGUUGGGACCACAGUGGUAGAUGACAAAGCCGUGCUCUUGAGAAAUAAGAGUGAACACUGUCAUUCACAGCUUGUUACACCACAGAGAAACUCUAAACAGUUUUCUAUGGCAAGAUAGCAAGAUGACUUUCUCUGGACUUUAACCUGUGGUUGACGAUCUUCAAGUGAGAGCUCUGCCAUUUGAUUGGAAAAAUCAAAUCCCUGAACUCAAGGCCACCAUGCUAGAUAAAACUUCUUUAAGGCACCUGAGAGAGAGAGGGAGAGAGAGAACACCUCCAGAGAGCAGCCUGCUGAUAGAGCCUACUUCUAACAAUAUGUAUAUACAGAGAAGCACAGUAAAAGUUAUCAGGCCUAGGGAGUAGAGGGGCAAGAUGAAGUGAGCCAUCCCAUUCCACAAGAAGCAAAGAAGACUCAUUCAGAAAGACAAUGCUGUAGUUCAAACAUGGAGGACAAGAGAGAUCCUUAGAGGUGAGAAGCAGUUCUUGCAUGACCGGUGGCUAUCACCAUACAUCUGCUACCACACAGUUAGACGUUUUCUGUGGCAAGUUCUAAAAGUCCAACAGGGAGAAGAAAAAGAAGAGACAAAACCUUGGAAUUCCAUAGGAUGACAUUUGAAACUGCGGUUGGUGCCUUACUUCAGUAUGUCUGUAAUUCAGAACCAUUGCCUGUUUAUCACGUCUAUCUUACAAGAGAUUCCAUUUAUUGGCCCCGGAGGCUGACAAGGAACCAACACCUGUGCCCAAAUGUUUUUAGAACCUUGGCAACGGAAGGCACGUUCAUUAUGCAAGAGAGCUGUAGUUCCAAGUGUGCUUAAGGCAUAGAAGAAUAGCAGACUUUUCACUUGCAAGAAGAAAAACAGGUUAAAGAGCAGGACGACUGGCAUAAUAGAGUUAUUAGUGUGAACAACCUUCAUGAAACUUCUGACCACUUGGAGCACACGUGACUAGUGGAAACUGUGUUUUGUGGUCCUGCUCUGCACUGCUGUCCUCACGAGGAGAAGAAAAGUGUUUUUGGUAUGUGAGUGAAGGGCCAAAGAGAAGAGUUUGAAGCUAAUUCUGUGGAUUUCUAUACUGGGACCUUCCUAGUUCUCUCCUUUGUCAAGAGUAAAUCACAUAAUCAAAAGACUAUGGAUGGAACAUAAUCCAGCUGCAUGUUUAUAAGAGCAAUUUUGAAGCUAUUCAGUGAAACCCAACUGUGGAUUUCACUUGUCCCAGGGAAGUGAUCAGAACUAAAGUAACUUCAACGAGAUCUUGCAUUCUAUCUGCUGUCAGUUUGGUUUGGAUUAUCACCUUGGAUGUGGGGUUCAAUGUUUUCACUAUGUGAUGGGGAGACGUGAUGAACUCUCCUCCAUAGCACACAAGAGUUUUGGACAUUACUCUGCCUUUAUAUAGAAGUAAUAUAGCAUUCCUGUGUUUUGGCGACUUUGGAUCCCCAUAGAGAACAGAACUUGGAUCAGAAGUUACAGAGGAAGCUUCUGAUCAUCCAGCUAUAAAAACCACCAUGACUGGUUCUGCCCAGAAGCUGCAUGACUACACAUGGAGCAGAAAAGUCGCUGUUUACAGCCAGCUUUAAAGUUCUUUGAAACCAUUUGAAUUUUCAUCCUGACAAGCCUUUUCACACUGGCAUUUUCCGAGAAACAGAUUAGCUUCAGCGUACCAGCCUUCAGGAGUAUAUAUGAGCCGAGACUUCAUUCAGAGUCUACACUAUAUCUGUGAAACUCAAAGUCAACCAGUCCAUUUGAACAAGAAAAAUGGUGUUUGGUUCCAGUAAGCUACUAUGGAGUGCUGUCCAGAUUUGACAAACGUUGCAGCUAGUUGCUUUUGUGUGCUUCGUAUGCAGUGCAAGCGCUGGAAAAUGCUUUUCACAUGAUGCAGCACUGCUAGUAGGUAAUCACUGGAGCAUUAAAACAAGCGAAUUUGUGUGUAUCCAGCAUGCUGCAGCAGGAUAAGCGGAAGUGAACAAAAUGAACUGUGGAGUUUUUAGCAAGGUGUCCUUCCUGCUCCUGCUGGCACGGAUUCUUUUUUCAUGUUGUGCUUUUGGUUAGCUUCACUAACAGCUAAAAGUGUGUACAUGAGAAAACCUUAAACCAAUGUGAAAACGAUUUUGUUUCUGUCCUAUUUUGGUCUGUUAUUUUUCAAGAACAUUUUCAGUUUAAUUAUGCAGCACUUAAAGUUGAAAUUAAACUGAAUUUGCAAUGGAAAAUGCUCACUUUAGUUAACUAUCAAAUUUACUGUGCUACUGGAAAACAGCAGCCUUUGCUAUUACAAUGUGCUCUGGGAAAAUUUACUGGUUUGUUUGUUUUUUUGAUAGGGAGAAAAUUCUCAAACUCUUGGCCCACUUAGAACAAAUUAGAAAUGUAAAAGGGAUGCCUGACAAAAUCAAGCCAGUAAUUUUUUGAAAAUACUGGAAAGCAUUUCAGGUAUUUUCCUCAACUGUUCACAAACUGGAAAUAUGGACAGGUUUUCUUUGUUACAUUUUCAUCUCUUUUCUUAAAUGCACUUUCCAAAUGUGGGUAGCAGGAAAAAAAAAAUAUUUAAAAAAACUUUGCAAUUAGCUUCUUGGCCCAGGGACACCUGACAUGAAGUCUUUUGCAUGGUGCAAUGAUUUAUUGUGACGGAUUUCAAUAAAGAGUGCAUAUUUAUAUAAGAUUGCACAGAUCUUAAUAACUCUAUACCUCUGUUUUUAGUUUGUGAUGUACAGUUCUGUGUACACAGAACAUCCCAGACUAGUGUCUUCAGACCACCUUUUUCCUUUAAGCCCCAGGCAUUUUUAUCACUGUGCCAAUAAAAGGAAAGGGAUUUAUGGGGUACUGCUUUUUAAUUCAUUCAAUUCUCUGUUCAUUGUGAGGUUAAUGUUGUUGAUCUAUUUUUCUCUUGAAACAAAUAAAAACAAUAUGUGCUGA